rnacentral:rRNA from 1 species
UACGAGGGGGGCAAAUGUUGUUCGGAAUCACUGGGCGUAAAGGGAGCGUAGUCGGGCUUCUAAGUUAGGUGUUUAAUCCCAGGGCCCAACCCUGGUCAGGCACCUAAAACUGGGAGUCUUGAAUAGUGGAGAGGACGAUGGAAUUGGGGGUGUAGCGGUGGAAUGCGUAGAGAUCCCCAAGAACACCAGUUGCGAAGGCGGUCGUCUGGACACAUAUUGACGCUGAGGCUCGAAAGCAUGGGGAGCAAACAGG